rnacentral:rRNA from 1 species
GACGAACGCUGGCGGCGUGCUUAACACAUGCAAGUCGAACGGAAAGGCCCUGCUUUUGUGGGGUGCUCGAGUGGCGAACGGGUGAGUAACACGUGAGUAACCUGCCCUUGACUUUGGGAUAACUUCAGGAAACUGGGGCUAAUACCGGAUAGGAGCUCCUGCUGCAUGGUGGGGGUUGGAAAGUUUCGGCGGUUGGGGAUGGACUCGCGGCUUAUCAGCUUGUUGGUGGGGUAGUGGCUUACCAAGGCUUUGACGGGUAGCCGGCCUGAGAGGGUGACCGGCCACAUUGGGACUGAGAUACGGCCCAGACUCCUACGGGAGGAAGCAGUGGGGAAUAUUGCACAAUGGGCGGAAGCCUGAUGCAGCAACGCCGCGUGCGGGAUGACGGCCUUCGGGUUGUAAACCGAUUUCGCCUGUGACGAAGCGUGAGUGACGGUAAUGGGUAAAGAAGCACCGGCUAACUACG